rnacentral:rRNA from 1 species
UACAGAGGUCUCAAGCGUUGUUCGGAUUCAUUGGGCGUAAAGGGUGCGUAGGUGGCGGUGUAAGUCAGGUGUGAAAUUUCGGAGCUUAACUCCGAAACUGCAUUUGAUACUGCCUUGCUUGAGGACUGGAGAGGAGACUGGAAUUUACGGUGUAGCAGUGAAAUGCGUAGAGAUCGUAAGGAAGACCAGUGGCGAAGGCGGGUCUCUGGACUGUUCCUGACACUGAGGCACGAAAGCUAGGGGAGCAAACGGG